rnacentral:rRNA from 1 species
CCUACGGGGAGCAGUAGUGAGGCAUAUUGGUCAAUGGGCGCGAGCCUGAACCAGCCAAGUAGCGUGAAGGAUGCCUGCCCUACGGGUUGUAAACUUCUUUUAUAAAGGAAUAAAGUGAGGCACGUGUGCCUUUUUGUAUGUACUUUAUGAAUAAGGAUCGGCUAACUCCGUGCAAGCAGCCGCGGUAAUACGGAGGAUCCGAGCGUUAUUCGGAUUUAUUGGGUUUACAGGGAGCGUAGAUGGGUUGUUAAGUCAGUUGUGCAAGUUUGCGGCUCAACCGUAAAAUUGCAAUUGAUACUGGCAGUCGUGAGUACAGUUGAGGUAGGCGGAAUUCGUGGUGUAGCGGUGAAAUGCUUAGAUAUCACGAAGAACUCCGAUUGCGAAGGCAGCUUACUAAACUGCCACUGACAUUGAUGCUCGAAAGUGUGGGUAUCAAACAGGAUUAGAGACCCCAGUAGUC